rnacentral:rRNA from 1 species
AUUGAACGCUGGCGGCAGGCCUAACACAUGCAAGUCGAACGAGUGGCGGACGGGUGAGUAAUGUCUGGGAAACUGCCUGAUGGAGGGGGAUAACUACUGGAAAAGGUAGCUAAUACCGCAUACCAUCGGAUGUGCCCAGAUGGGAUAAGCUAGUAGGUGGGGUACAGGCUCACCUAGGCGACGAUCCCUAGCUGGUGUGAGAGGAUGACGAGCCACACUGUAACUGAGACACGGUCCAGACUCCUACGUGAGGCAGCAGUGGGGAAUAGUGCACAAUGGGCGCAAGGCUGAUGCAGCCAUGACGCGUGUAUGAAGAAGGCCUUCGGGUUGUAAAGUACUUUCAGCGGAGAGGCGUUACCCGCAGAAUAAGCACCGGCUAACGCCGUGCCAGCAGCCGCGGUAAUAC